rnacentral:lncRNA from 1 species
GUGGACACAAGAAAUGACUGCCUCUGAGUUUAUCUGUAGGCAAGGGGGCUGAACCCAGGGCUGGCCCUGAGGGUGGGUUGGGGGUGCAGAUGCAGGAGAGCCAGUGGUGCUGUGGGAUCCAGGUGGGAUCCUGUACAGCCUGGAGAGAAGAGUGGGGCGGAGUGCCUCGUUAGCCUGUGAUUAAUACAUCAUAAUAUAGUAAUCAACAGGCAGAGCCAUGUGAAUGCAGCAUUAGGCUGGAAAUAACACCCACAAGAAACACCGUCUGAAGCCUCCCACGGCAUCGCAGUUUGGCCUCUCAUUCUGUGUUAGCUCACAGUAUGUGGCAAUUGCUCAGGAGAGAAGGAAACAGUAUUUCCGAGCAGCCUUUGGUGCAGAGCUGAUGGUGUUUGCCAUGCUAGGAGUGGUAUCCCAAAGGUGAGUGGAGAGAGACGUCCCGGUGAACAGAAAAGUAAUAAGGGCGGAUUUCAGCCCAAGAGGCUGACCGAGGCCAACCAGUUAUUUCAGGCGGACUAUAUGCUCAACUCUGCUCUGUCCCCCAACAACAGCCCCAUCUACAUCUCCCUUAAUUCCCUGGUACUUGAGUCCCAUCUUCCUGGCUAAGCCUAUU